rnacentral:piRNA from 1 species
UUUUUUGGGUUGCUAGCAGUA